AUACGUAGGGGGCGAGCGUUGUCCGGAAUGAUUGGGCGUAAAGGGCGCGUAGGCGGCGCGGUAAGUCUGGAGUGAAAGUCUUGCUUUCAAGGUGGGAAUUGCUUUGGAUACUGCCGCGCUUGAGUGCAGGAGAGGUUAUCGGAAUUCCCGGUGUAGCGGUGAAAUGCGUAGAGAUCGGGAGGAACACCAGUGGCGAAGGCGGGUAACUGGACUGCAACUGACGCUGAGGCGCGAAAGUGUGGGGAGCAAACAGGAUUAGAUACCCUGGUAGUCCACACUGUAAACGAUGAAUGCUAGGUGUAAGAGGUAUCGACCCCUUUUGUGCCGGAGUCAACACAAUAAGCAUUCCGCCUGGGGAGUACGGCCGCAAGGUUGAGACUCAAAGGAAUUGACGGGG
rnacentral:rRNA from 1 species